GUAAGCUGUAGCAACUCUUGUAUUUUAAAUAUAAUGUCCUUAUUAUAAAUGUUACAUAAUGUUUCAAACAAUUCUCGCUGUUGGUAAUUUGCAUGAUAAUUUUGUGAUCCCCUGUUUCGAAAGGUAAUACUCAUAAAUCAUUUUCGCUCACCGUGUCCUGAAAACAUUGAACAUAUUAAGGAGGCGAUAGAAAUGUACCCAAUUGUAUUGGUUAAUGGACCCAUUCAUCGCGCCACUAGUUGCAAUUGCAAAAUUGACUUAUAAAAUAAUCGAAGGAGUUAUAAGAGCUGUAAUUGAUGGACUUAUUUUAGUUGCGUGCUACUUUGCACUCGGAGCCACCGCCGUGAUACUUGGAAUCUUAUUUUUAAGAAGGAGGAAACGCCAUCCUUGUCCCUCUCGCUCCGCAUCAUGGCCUGAACUAGGGCCAAACGCCAGAGGUCGCCGUCGCCGAUCACAACCCUGAGGUCACGGCAGUGCUCAGCCAAUGCAGGUCACACCGCCACCAUAUGCUCCGCCGUAUCCUCCGGGUGAUCUUCGCAGUGAUGACACCUGGGCGUUUCCAUCCCGUCCAAUCAGAACCAUGUAUCUCCCGAAACUUCUGUGUCCGGUUUGGUCAUUGCAGUCGUGAAAAUUGUUUGCCAGAGCCCACCGUUGCCUCCUGUAUGGCAGUGGCUGGAAUUACGAUGAUCGCGUAUGUUGCUUACGUCUUGUUUACCAAAUGGUUCUGAAUUUACUAUGUAUCUUAUUUGUCACUAUUCUAAUGUCAUUAAAGUAAG